AGAGUUUGAUCAUGGCUCAGAUUGAACGCUGGCGGAAUGCUUUACACAUGCAAGUCGAACGAUGAACCCUAGCUUGCUAGGGGGAUUAGUGGCGAACGGGUGAGUAAUAUAUCGGAACGUGCCUUGUAAUGGGGGAUAACUAGUCGAAAGAUUAGCUAAUACCGCAUACGCCCUGAGGGGGAAAGUAGGGGAUCUUCGGACCUUACGUUAUAAGAGCGGCCGAUAUCUGAUUAGCUAGUUGGUGGGGUAAUGGCCUACCAAGGCUUCGAUCAGUAGCUGGUCUGAGAGGACGACCAGCCACACUGGAACUGAGACACGGUCCAGACUCCUACGGGAGGCAGCAGUGGGGAAUUUUGGACAAUGGGCGCAAGCCUGAUCCAGCCAUUCCGCGUGAGUGAAGAAGGCCUUCGGGUUGUAAAGCUCUUUCGCAAGGGAAGAAAACUUACAUUCUAAUAAAGUGUGAGGCUGACGGUACCUUGAUAAGAAGCACCGGCUAACUACGUGCCAGCAGCCGCGGUAAUACGUAGGGUGCGAGCGUUAAUCGGAAUUACUGGGCGUAAAGCGUGCGCAGGCGGUUUGGCAAGUCAGAUGUGAAAUCCCCGAGCUCAACUUGGGAACUGCGUUUGAAACUGCCAGACUAGAAUAUGUCAGAGGGGGGUAGAAUUCCACGUGUAGCAGUGAAAUGCGUAGAGAUGUGGAGGAAUACCAAUGGCGAAGGCAGCCCCCUGGGAUAAUAUUGACGCUCAUGCACGAAAGCGUGGGGAGCAAACAGGAUUAGAUACCCUGGUAGUCCACGCCCUAAACGAUGUCUACUAGUUGUUGGUGGAGUAAAAUCCAUGAGUAACGCAGCUAACGCGUGAAGUAGACCGCCUGGGGAGUACGGUCGCAGAUUAAAACUCAAAGGAAUUGACGGGGCCCGCACAAGCGGUGGAUUAUGUGGAUUAUUCGAUGCACGCCGAAAACCUUACCUGGCCUUGACAUGCCACUAACGAAGCAGAGAUGCAUUAAGUGUCCGUAAGGGAAGUGGAAACGGGCUGCAUGGCUGGCGCCCACUUCUGUCUUGGAG
rnacentral:rRNA from 1 species